GUGGCCCGAGGCGGCCCGGGAGCCAUUAGUAAAUGCGCCACCCGAGCCACCGGGCCCGCCCAAAGGCUGACCUCCCGCCCGCUCCUUCCGGUCGCGUUCUGGGGCCGACUCCUGGGCCCAGGCCUCGGCCCCGCUGCCCGCGCACCCGGACAGCUUCUCUCUGCUCAAGUUCAUGAAGGGCCGGGCCGCUCGGCAGCUUUCCGGGCCCCGUCUCCAGGCCGAGAGUGCUCCGCCGCCCAACCGGGCCUUCCCCCCACGGACCGUCCGUCCCGCGGCUUACCGAAAGAGUGGAGGUUCUGGAUAGCGGACAUACGAUACGAUUCCUUUUCCUCGGUGGAAACGGCCUGCGGAAGGCGGCGGCGGGAGAAGGCGGGCGGGGGGGACGGAGCGUCGGGAAGCGAGGGGGCUCGAGGGGGAGGCUGCUGAGUCCUCGGCGGCGGCUCAGUGACUGGGGCGGAGGGGCGGCGCCUGUAUUCACUUAUAUAGCCGCCCCUGUGACGCCAGCGCGUUGCACUCACGUCCCGGCCCCACCCACGGCGUCGUGCCCUGAGCGCCCAAGCGCCGCCUCUUCCAAUUGGUUCGGGGGCGGAGAUGCGGCGCGGCGCUUGCGCAGGAGCUCAGUGCUGCAGGAGGGCGUCCUCCUGGCUCUCGGAGAGCUGGAAGGGGGAGGGAAAGCUUAGUCAGUCUAGGCGCCUGCGCAGUGCGGAAGGAAGGUGUCUGGGCUGCGCAGAAAAUUGGCGGAGGUUUCGGGCGCGCCUGCGCACUAUGUUCUCUGGCACGUUCCAUCCUCUUGACUCUGUUGCGGCGUUACCUGCUCCAGGAAGGAUUGUUCCUGGGGGUUAUUGGCACUCCUUAGAGGGGAUUUAGCUGCCGAGCGUCCCGCACAUGACAGAUGCCCCCUAUCUCAUACCCACCCACCUACCCACCGGGUCACACACUUACUCCCACUUUCUUUGCAGAUUUACGGCGGCACCUUUAUUUAAUCAACCUAGAAUAAUAUAACCCAAACCCUAACUUUGGCAUUUAGAUUAAUUUAUCAUUUAGAUGAAUCUAAUCUAAAAAUGGAUUAGUCUGUAAAUUUACCAUUUAGAUAAUCUAAGGAAAGGACACCUAGCUCAUUAGCACGAGGCCAAGAGAGAGUAAUGCUGGUUCUGGGGGACCGAGAAGAAUUCAGGCGCCUGAAGGAUGUCCUUUGUGUCUUACAAAUCGUGUGUGGUGGAGCCUUCUCGGAGCGUAGAUGAAUAUUUCCUUCAAAUCAGUCAACCCUUCUUGUUCUUUGCAUUUAUUAAUGGAAACGCUCUCCGCUGCAGGGGUGAAAAGAGUGGUUUUAGACGCCACAGGCCUCCAGGGGCCAGGCAGGAAGCGGGGACAUGGGCGUCGAUGACAUGGGCGUCCCAGUCUCACAUCUCCCCAGUCUGCGAAGCUGAGUGCCCUCCUGCCCUCCACCUGGGAGCCUCGGCACUCACAGACCUGGCUCUGCCUGAAAGGGGUUUGGGGCGACAGUGGCUGCAUAGGUGGCAUGCACUCUAUUUCUACUGGAUGGCGCUGCUCUAGACGAUUGUGGACUGAAGAAUAUCGCCGACCUCAUCCUUUGCCCCAAACAGCUUAGUGAUCGUCCCCUCUUACCUGCAGCCGGGACUCUUCUUGAGCGGAAUUCGGGGCAGGAAGAUUUUUUCAUUUUGUUGAGCACCCAUGGCUUGCUGGGUCCUGUGCGAGGUAUAUCCCACCCCGGUCCCACGGAAUCCUGACGAAGCAGGGUCCUCAGCCCAUCUGCAGCAUAAACAACGUAACCAGUCUCCUUUUGUUGGGCAUCUAAAUCAGCUCCAAUCUUCUGUUCUCGUCAACAGCACUGAAUGAAUAUCCUUGUGGAUAAUUCAACACGUCCAAGCCACCGUCAUCUCUGGCCUGGAUUAUUGCAAUAGCCCACGAUGGGUCUCCUGGCUUUGGCUCCAGCUCCCUGGCGUCUGGUCCGUACACAGCAGCCGAGGGAGUGCAUUGGAAUGCCAAACGCGGAGCCACAGAAUAGGCACAUUUCCUGCAGUGGCCACAAGAUGGCAGCACAGACCGCGCUUCGGGACAGACGCGGCCUCUAGUUCCUCCCGCCUUCCCAGAGGCCGCAGCCCUAAGAGAUGUGCCUGGUCGUGCCUUCCUGACAGUAUUGGGUGACAGCCUCUCCCUCUAGACUGUCAGCUCCGUGCAGCCGGGUUGGCAUUG
ensembl:lncRNA